CCUACGGGUGGCAGCAGUGGGGAAUCUUGGGCAAUGGGGGGAACCCUGAUCCAGCGACGCCGCGUGAGUGAAGGAAUAUUUCGGUAUGUAAAGCUCUAGCAGCAAGGGAGAAAAUGACAGUACCUGACUAAGAAGCCACGGCUAACUACGUGCCAGCAGCCGCGGUAAUACGUAGGGGGCAAGCGUUAUCCGGAUGUACUGGGUGGAAAGGGAGCGUAGACGGUGCAGCAAGUCUGAUGUGAAAGGUCGGGGCCCAACCCCGGGACUGCAUUGGAGACUGUUGAACUGGAGUACAGGAGAGGUAAGCGGAAUUCCUAGUGUAGCGGUGAAAUGCGUAGAUAUUAGGAGGAACACCAGUGGCGAAGGCGGCUUACUGGACUGUAACUGACGUUGAGGCUCGAAAGCGUGGGGAGCAAACAGGAUUAGAUACCCUUGUAGUC
rnacentral:rRNA from 1 species